rnacentral:rRNA from 1 species
GCGUGUGUGAAGAAGGCCUUAGGGUUGUAAAGCACUUUCGGCUGUGAAGAUAAUGACAGUAGCAGAAGAAGAAGCUCCGGCUAAAUUCGUGCCAGCAGCCGCGGUAAUACGAAUGGAGCGAGCGUUGUUCGGAAUCACUGGGCGUAAAGCGUGCGCAGGCGGUCUUGAAAGUCAGGAGUGAAAUCCCAGGGCUUAACCCUGGAAUUGCUCUUGAAACUCCAAGACUGGAGUACUGGAGAGGUUGGCGGAAUUCCGAGUGUAGCAGUGAAAUGCGU